CUACACACAAGAACUUGAGUUGCGAGCUGGAUUAUGAUGAUGAUGAGUAUGCUGACAAUGAGACUGCAGUCUUGGAGGCUCGAGCCUUGCAGAAUGGAGAAGAGUCUAAGGAUGAACGCGAAAAUAGCGAUGAUGGUAGCUCCAGUUCUGAUGAAGAAUCUUCUGAAAGUUCUGAACAUCUUGACACAGGGGACCCAAAGAGUAAAGCAGAUUCUAAAGAGAAGACUGUUCGAGGUUUAACUAGGCUCAAGAAGCUAAAGAAAAAUUGGAAUGGCCAGAAACGUGUGAUGGAAUUUGAUAAAUUGGGUCAUUUUAAGGGGAAGUACAAAUCUGAAAUUGCUAGUUACAUGGGUGUAAUAGUACGUCGGGACGUAGGUCUCAGGCACUUGAAUCGGAAGAAAGUAAAGACAGAGUUGAGGGAUAAGUUAUGGGACGAACUAGUGGUAUGUGUAUACUGAUUUCUAUGUUAAUAUUAUAUUUGUUACUAAUUUUUGCUGAGUUACCGCCAUUAACAUCCAAUUCAUAUUUUGGAAGUGGUUUUAUGAAAUUGAGGUGACUAGGAGAAAUCGAAAUAUGAAAUACUUCGGUGAACAUUUGCGCAAUUUUAGAAGAAAACUGUGUGUAAAGUUUAUAGUGCCCAAUUUGGGUAAACCUGCUAAACUUACGACUAUUCCUGAACAAUAUCGUUUGUUGCUGACCCAAGAACAAUGGGACAACUUCGUAGACUGGAGGCUGUCUGCUGAAUGCAAGAAAUUGUCCACUAUGGGAGUUGAGGCGCGUGAGCACCACAAAUAUGACCAUAGGUUGGGAAGAGCAGGAUAUGCGGCGCUGCUGGAAAAAUUAAUUAAAGAAAAAGAGAUUCGUGAAGAUGAAAAUCCUUUACGGUCUUUACUGUGGAGGAAGGCACAUCAAAACAAAAAUGGAGAAUAUGAUGACGAUGGUGUUAGGGAAAAGGCAGCACAGCUUGUAAUGCGACUGAAACUACUUAGCUAUUUGUUCUGUGCUUUAGUGAAUGUGCAAAUUAAGAUGUGCAGGCAAGGGAGUAACUCCAACAACAUACUGGAACCUGCCACGGAAAGGAGCAUCCAAGGAGCACAUUGAACUGAAGAAACAGAUGAAAGACAUGUGAACCAAAUGGAGAGAGAUAGGAAGGAUAAAGAAAUGAAGGAACUGAAGGAAGCAAUGAAUGCACAAGCAAAAAUGAUGAACAACUUAAUGUCUCAGUUCAAUUCUCAAGGAGUAUUGAAAAAGAAAAAAUCCAACAACAAAAAGGCGCGGAAAUCUCCUAUUAUAGAGAAGUCUCUUAUGCCUGAGGCCCCUGUUAGAAGCAAUUCUCUGAUUGAAAGACAGGAAUCAAAUUCAAAUAGCCAGUCCCCUGAAUCUCAACGUGUAUCUCAGUCGGCGGCAUCGAAAGACAAAUCUGAACUCCAAAUGGUGUUUUUUUUCCUCGCGUUUUUAGGGGCCACUCAAAAGGAUUUAGGGGCCAACAAUAAAACAAAAAAGGUCACCAAAGGGAAAAUGUAGCCAGCCCUUAUCUCGCGUAAUUCGUAAUGGCAAAAUUACCCUUAUAUAUUCGGAGGAUAUGAUAACAUUUUUAUCCUCCGAUUUCAAUCGGAAGACAAAAAUUUACCCAGACUUCCGAUUGUAGUUGGUGCAUUACUUCCGAUUGUAGU